UUGAUAAAGUAUAAAGUAGUAUUCAAAUCAAGACACUAAAUUGAUAACGAGUAUACAUUCAAAUUGUUCUUGUGAGUAUUCAAAUCAAGACACUAAAUUGAUAACGAGUAUACAUUCAAAUUGUUCUUGUGACAUCAUUUUGAUCAAAAAUGUUGCAAUGAUAAAGCCUCAAAAUCAGGGCUGGAUCUGAGUGUAUGCAAACUUGUGAAACUACAAUUUCUACAUCGCAGAGAGCAAAUCAACGCAAUUAAACAAAUUUACGGUGAAAACCCGAUUAAAUUAGGUCAAAUUUCAACAAUCUAACGGGACCAAAAUUAGGUUUAUCAUUUUCUGAAAUUUGAGAUCGACACAAACCUUAGAAAAUGGAGAAAAUCAACGAUUACAAACGAAACAACCCGAUUGAUUGCGAAAUCAAAAUCGAUUUAAGAGGAAAAUCUCAGAAGCUUA
rnacentral:lncRNA from 1 species